CGGGACGUAGCGCAGUCUGGGAGCGCACCUGAAUGGGGUUCAGGGGGUCCGGGGUUCAAAUCCCCGCGUCCCGACCA
rnacentral:tRNA from 1 species